UAGGGAAUCUUCCGCAAUGGACGAAAGUCUGACGGAGCAACGCCGCGUGAGUGAAGAAGGAUUUCGGUUCGUAAAACUCUGUUGUUAGGGAAGAAAAAAUGUAUAGUAACUAUAUACAAAAGAGACGGUACCUAACCAGAAAGCCACGGCUAACUACGUGCCAGCAGCCGCGGUAAUACGUAGGUGGCAAGCGUUGUCCGGAAUUAUUGGGCGUAAAGCGCGCGCAGGUGGUUUAGAAAGUCUGAUGUGAAAGCCCACGGCUCAACCGUGGAGGGUCAUUGGAAAAUAAUAAACUUGAGUGCAGGGGAGAAAAGUGGAAUUCCUAGUGUAGCGGUGAAAUGCGUAGAGAUUAGGAAGAACACCGGUGGCGAAAGCGGCUUUUUGGCCUGCAACUGACACUGAGGCGCGAAAGCGUGGGGAGCAAACAGG
rnacentral:rRNA from 1 species